UACGUAGGGGGCAAGCGUUUGUCCGGAAUCAUUGGGCGUAAAGCGCGCGUAGGCGGCUCGGUAAGUCCGCUCUGAAAGUCCGGGGGCUCAACCCCGGGAGGCGGGGUGGAUACUGCUGGGCUCGAGUCCGGAAGAGGCGAGUGGAAUUCCUGGUGUAGCGGUGAAAUGCGCAGAUAUCAGGAAGAACACCGGUGGCGAAGGCGGCUCUCUGGGCCUUACCUGACGCUGAGGAGCGAAAGCGUGGGUAGCGAACAGG
rnacentral:rRNA from 1 species